CAGAUAGAGUUUAUCAUCAAGCAGCUGAAUUCCGAAGAUUUACUGGAUGGUGUUCUUGAAUCCGAUGAUGACGAGGAUGAAGAUGAUGAAGAGGAUCAUGACAUCAUGGAGGCUGACUUGGACCCAGCUUGGAGAACUCUCAGGCGAGAAGCUUCUAACCACAGAGUACUUGGGAAUCAUGACCAACACUGGGAAGGCACGGAGGAAAGGGCUGGCCAGUGUGCAGUGGAGUGGGGAUGAGCCCCUUCGUCGGCCAGUCACCCCUGGUGGCCACAGGACAGGGUGCCCAGUGUAAGUUCGGGAUACAGGAGGCGGGAGUCUGUUUUCUUAAACUUUGUCUUGAUUAACUGCUGUGUACCAUGCAUAAUAAAGCAUUCACACUGGAAA
rnacentral:lncRNA from 1 species